rnacentral:misc_RNA from 1 species
GUGAAUCAUCGAAUUUUUGAACGCAAAUUGCACUCUUCUCGGAGAGUAAGACUGUUUGAGUGUCAGACUAUAAAAAAUUGACAUCGUCGCUGUUUCGCGGUGGUGUUCGUCGGAUAUUGGGUUAUAUUAACUAUUUUUGGGUUUUAAGUGACUUAAAAUUUUCUUUUUGGUUUCAUGAACGUUUCUAAGAUUUAUUUCUUCACACGUUUAAGGUAUUUAUUUUUAUUAGACGUGACUAUCAUAUCGGAUCGAGUCAACAAUUUUUCAUUAAUUGACCACAGA